UACGAAGGGGGCGAGCGUUGUUCGGAAUCACUGGGCGUAAAGGGCGCGUAGGCGGCCCUCUUAGUCGCGUGUGAAAGCCCCGGGCUUAACCUGGGAACGGCGCGCGAAACGGGAGGGCUGGAGUUCGGGAGAGGAGAGUGGAAUUCCCAGUGUAGAGGUGAAAUUCGUAGAUAUUGGGAAGAACACCAGUGGCGAAGGCGGCUCACUGGCCCGGUACUGACGCUGAGGUGGCGAAAGCGUGGGGAGCAAACAGG
rnacentral:rRNA from 1 species